UGUUCAUCUCAGCCUCCUGGACCAUUCAUAUCAAUCAGGAAGUUUGAUGGUCCACUCUUUCAGCAGGUAAAUUUGUCUAUGAAGAUAAGGAAUCAUUACCCGAACUCCACCUAAUUUCUGCUAGAGGGCAGGUUCUACAAACGAGCCUAUGGAUGUGUUCUACCCACCUGCACUGAAGCUGCAGUUUAGAUUUAUUGGGGAAGGUGAGAAUGGAUGAAAAUGAAGAUUACAUAUGCUGGAUGCAGUUGACUGAGAGUAGGAAAAUAGACAAAGGAACUGUUAACAGAGUCAUUGAUAUCCAACCCUAGAAAUGAUGGCAGUGGUGGUCCAGUGGGAAGAAACA
rnacentral:lncRNA from 1 species